GACGAACGCUGGCGGCGUGCUUAACACAUGCAAGUCGUACGGUAAGGCCCUUUCGGGGGUACACGAGUGGCGAACGGGUGCGUAACACGUGAGUAACCUGCCCACAACUUUGGGAUAACGCUAGGAAACUGGUGCUAAUACUGGAUAUGUGCUCCUGCUGCAUGGUGGGGGUUGGAAAGCUCCGGCGGUUGUGGAUGGACUCGCGGCCUAUCAGCUUGUUGGUGGGGUAGUGGCCUACCAAGGCGGCGACGGGUAGCCGGCCUGAGAGGGUGACCGGCAACAUUGGGACUGAGAUACGGCCCAGACUCCUACGGGAGGCAGCAGUGGGGAAGAUUGCACAAUGGGCGCAAGCCUGAUGCAGCAACGCCGCGUGCGGGAUGACGGCCUUCGGGUUGUAAACCGCUUUCAGCAGGGACGAAGCUUUUUGUGACGGUACCUGCAGAAGAAGCACCGGCUAACUACGUG
rnacentral:rRNA from 1 species